rnacentral:sRNA from 1 species
CCGGACGCCAUUCCGGGUCCGGUGGACACAGAGGGCGUCGGCUCUCUCCGACGCUUCUCAUGCCCAGAUUGCUUCACAUGGAGGAUUUGGAAAUGAGAA